GAUGAACGCUGGCGGCGUGCCUAAUACAUGCAAGUCGAGCGAACGGACGAGAAGCUUGCUUCUCUGAUGUUAGCGGCGGACGGGUGAGUAACACGUGGAUAACCUACCUAUAAGACUGGGAUAACUUCGGGAAACCGGAGCUAAUACCGGAUAAUAUUUUGAACCGCAUGGUUCAAAAGUGAAAGACGGUCUUGCUGUCACUUAUAGAUGGAUCCGCGCUGCAUUAGCUAGUUGGUAAGGUAACGGCUUACCAAGGCAACGAUGCAUAGCCGACCUGAGAGGGGGGUCGGCCACACGGGAACUGAGACACGGUCCAGACUCCUACGGGAGGCAGCAGUAGGGAAUCUUCCGCAAUGGGCGAAAGCCUGACGGAGCAACGCCGCGUGAGUGAUGAAGGUCUUCGGAUCGUAAAACUCUGUUAUUAGGGAAGAACAUAUGUGUAAGUAACUGUGCACAUCUUGACGGUACCUAAUCAGAAAGCCACGGCUAACUACGUG
rnacentral:rRNA from 1 species